UGAAAGUGUUCCAUGACAAUAUAACUGCUGGACACCCGGGCAUCAAUAAGUCCACUGCCGCGAUCACUAGAUCAUUUUGGUGGGAUUCACUCAGGAAAGAUGUAAAGGAGUAUGUGCAAGCAUGUUCUGUGUGUGCAGUUUCUAAGGUGACUCAUGCACUGUUGUUGCAGCCUCUUCCUGUUCCUGAGAUUCCAUGGUCCCACUUAUCCAUG